AGUGAACGCUGGCGGUAGGCCUAACACAUGCAAGUCGAACGGCAGCACAGAGGAGCUUGCUCCUUGGGUGGCGAGUGGCGGACGGGUGAGGAAUACAUCGGAAUCUACUUUUUCGUGGGGGAUAACGUAGGGAAACUUACGCUAAUACCGCAUACGACCUACGGGUGAAAGCAGGGGACCUUCGGGCCUUGCGCGAUUGAAUGAGCCGAUGUCGGAUUAGCUAGUUGGCGGGGUAAAGGCCCACCAAGGCGACGCUCCGUAGCUGGUCUGGGAGGAUGAAGAGCAACACUGGAACUGAGACACGGUCCAGACUCCUACGGGAGGCAACAGUGGGGAAUAUUGGACAAUGGGCGCAAGCCUGAUCCAGCCAUACCGCGUGGGUGAAGAAGGCCUUCGGGUUGUAAAGCCCUUUUGUUGGGAAAGAAAUCCAGCCGGCUAAUACCUGGUUGGGAUGACGGUACCCAAAGAAUAAGCACCGGCUAACUUCGUGCCAGCCGCCGCCGUAA
rnacentral:rRNA from 1 species